rnacentral:rRNA from 1 species
UACGGGAGGCAGCAGUGGGGAAUAUUGCACAAUGGGCGCAAGCCUGAUGCAGCCAUGCCGCGUGUAUGAAGAAGGCCUUCGGUUUGUAAAGUACUUUCAGUCGUGAGGAAGGUGUUAAGGUUAAUAACCUUAGCAAUUGACGUUAGCGACAGAAGAAGCACCGGCUAACUCCGUGCCAGCAGCCGCGGUAAUACGGAGGGUGCGAGCGUUAAUCGGAAUUACUGGGCGUAAAGGGCACGCAGGCGGUUAAUUAAGUUGGAUGUGAAAUCCCCGGGCUUAACCUGGGAAUGGCAUUCAAGACUGGUUAGCUAGAGUCUUGUAGAGGGGGUAGAAUUCCAUGUGUAGCGGUGAAAUGCGUAGAGAUGUGGAGGAAUACCGGUGGCGAAGGCGGCCCCUGGACAAAGGCUGACGCUCAUGUGCGAAAGCGUGGGGAGCAAAC